UCAGAGUAUGACUUGCGAUUAAUUGGAGGAUUACAGUCAUCCAGAAUGACCUAGUUUAAAACUUUAAUCAUAGCAGAGUAUUUCAAAAUAAUCUAAUUAGUAUCUCAAAAUAACAUAAGCUAAAUAAGUGAAAUCCUAAAGAGAGCUAAGUAGCAGCGUCAGCGUCCUCCAGCACUUGCUCCAAGGGGACCUCCUCAACAACAUCUGCUCCCAUCCAAGUGGAUGAUCAUCGCAAAAGAAAGCAUACCCAAGCAACAUACAACACAAAAGUAAGGGUGAGCUAGGUAAACAAACAACAUACAUAUAAUAAGUCAAUCAAUGUCAUCAUGCUUAAUUAAAGAACAAACAAGGCAUACCAACCAAACCAUGCAUCAAAUACUCAACGGGACUCAUCCGGAUUUGGUAUAACUGUCUAGCUAUUGGUUGUCUUUGCACUUGCAUAGUUCAGCUGGCCCAUCCCCAACACUAUACAAGGUAAAUCCCCCAAUCUGUCUAUGUCUAAACUCCAAGACUAUAGACGAGGACCUCCCUCUACUCUCACCACUCACACUGUUCUUCUCUAUUUGAGCAUGAACAAUGCUUUGAGUGUAGGGAUAGACAUACCAUUUCAAAGCUCCCAACAUUAUGCAGACAACAACAACAUCUCUACAAUCACAUCCACUCAUCUCACCCUGAGAUGUUCAAUUCACACUCAAGUUCAUCAAUUCACAGUCAUGUUAUUUCAAGUCACACGAGUCACCUAGAUAGACAUACAUACAUGACAUUCGGUAGAGCAAACAACGUUAAUCAAUCCAUAUGCCUUAACUAACCAAUCACAAAUCACCAAAUUUGUAACAUCUCUCGCAAUAAGAUACGCAUUGCUCAAUAACAUGCGUUGCUCAUAAAUCACAAGGCUCAUAGCACAAUUUCAAUACAUUCCACACUAAAUCUCAAUAAUAAACAUUACCUUGUCACACAAAGUUUUACUACACUAUAUAAAAUAUUAUGACAUAAAGUAAAUUCCCCAACACAUAAAAUUAUUACGACUUUNAACCACAAACCACAAUACUUAUAAAUAUUCAACUUUUAUUAUUUAUUUUCUAUACAUGAUAAUUCUUCAUAUUAAAUUAUG
rnacentral:lncRNA from 1 species